UAACAGUGAAAUGCUUGGUAAACAACAGGUGUAGACUAACAGUGAAAUGCUUGGUAAACAACAGGUGUAGACUAACAGUGAAAUGCUUGGUAAACAACAGGUGGAGACUAACAGUGAAAUGCUUGGUAAACAACAGGUGGAGACUAACAGUGAAAUGCUUGGUAAACAACAGGUGGAGACUAACAGUGAAAUGCUUGGUAAACAACAGGUGGAGACUAACAGUGAAAUGCUUGGUAAACAACAGGUGGAGACUAACAGUGAAAUGCUUGGUAAACAACAGGUGGAGACUAACAGUGAAAUGCUUGGUAAACAACAGGUGGAGACUAACAGUGAAAUGCUUGGUAAACAACAGGUGGAGACUAACAGUGAAAUGCUUGGUAAACAACAGGUGGAGACUAACAGUGAAAUGCUUGGUAAACAACAGGUGGAGACUAACAGUGAAAUGCUUGGUAAACAACAGGUGGAGACUAACAGUGAAAUGCUUG